rnacentral:sRNA from 1 species
AAUAAACAUUUGCUAAUGACGAAUUACUUAGGCUUAAUAGAUUCAUCUCGCGGUUUACAGAUAGAAUCUGUAAUUUAUUUUGUUAUUUGUCUAUAUUUAAUACUUGAAAUGUGUGUCCGUAUACGUUAAAAAAAUUUAACCAAACAACUAAACACGGCCUAUGACGAAAAUGCAUCAUCACGUGUACUAGCCCAACUAGUUUAUAAACUGUAGGCCUAUUCUAUAAUGAAUUUUUCCAUUCAAUCUCAUACUUACAAUGAGACCUGCAGGUAGCUGUGUGGGUCCAUGAGAAUCCUGCCUACCAAAUUCAUGACAGAAUACUUCAUCCGAACUUCAUAAUGAUGGAUUUUGCUGUGUUUGUGAUGGCUCCGUUUGUUGCCGGCCACCACUAAUUUUUAUGACCAAGACUUUUAACUCGUUAUUACAAGGCUGAGAGUGAACGUACUUUAGGAUGACUUUUUGAAAACUCGUUAUAGAUCAAUGACGGAUUUUCUGUUCGUCACAUGAAAUUCAUCAUAAAAGACCAAAUCUACUGUAGUGAUUGCUACGUAGUUUCCAAAAGCUAGCAAAGCACUCGCUAUCAAUUCAAGCAACGAAACAAACAGUGGCCAUCCUGUGUCUAUCUAGACUUGACUAGUUGACGUGUACAUUCCCUUAGCUGGGAGGGCACACAAAACAGAUGGGCAACGACACACUUGAUGACAUGUCCUCCCUCCGUCCCUAAAUAUAAAAAAUUUUGGUUAGAUGUGAUACAUCCUAACUAUCCAGAUUCGUUGUACUAGGAUGUUUCACAUCCAAUCAAAAUCUCUUAUAUUUAGGGAUGGAGUGAGUAGUUGAGUGGACAUCACUCCUAACAGUGGCGAAACCAAAAUUUAGGUACUCCCUCCGUCGCAUUUUAAGUGCAGUCAUGAGUUUUCAUGUCUAACUUUAAACAUUCGUCUUAUUUGAAAUUUUUUUCAAAAAAAUUAAAAAACAUGUCACACGGUACUAUUCAUAUUUUAUCAUCUAACUACAGUAAACAUAUUAAUCUAAAAAAAUUCAAAUAAGACAGAUGAUCAAAAUUGGACACGGAAACUCAUGGUUACACUUAAAAUGGGAUGGAUGGAGUAUUAAGUACGGGUGGACGUUUAAUCGGUUUAAAUGGGUAGCUUUAUGAAAGAUUUUUCUGUUAAAUGGCAACCGAAUAAUGUGUAAUAGAAAAAGAAAUCAAAAUGUACAUCACUGCACCAACUGAUAAAAAAUGCAUUCACACAUUUACUAGCUGAUAUCCACAUCCACACUCACAAAGACAUUCACAUUCAAAAUUAGAAGAUAAAUUUUGCUAUAGGAUAUUGCGACUUCAUAGUUCCUUUAAUAUAUUAUGGGUGCCCUUUUUUCUUAAAAAAAUUGUUAUAAAAAAACCAAGCCGAGUCGGAUGGGGGAAGGAGAGAUAUUUUUAGCCACACCUUCUCUCUCGCCGGCCUUAUCUUCUCGCUCUCAGCGGCCCAAGCCCGGUAGCGUGGCGGCUCCCCUCGACAGCGCUAGAUCUGGCGGCGAGCAGUAGCCCACUCAUCGGCAGUGCC